GAUGAACGCUAGCGGCAGGCUUAAUAACAUGCAAGUCGAGGGGGCAGCAUGACUGUAGCAAUACAGUUGAUGGCGACCGGCAAACGGGUGCGGAACACGUACAGAACCUUCCUUCGGAGCGGGGGAAUAGCCCAGAGAAAUUUGGAUUAAUACCCCAUAGUACAUUGGAGUGGCAUCACUUUAAUGUUAAAGAUUUAUCACUUGAAGAUGGCUGUGCGGCUGAUUAGGUAGUUGGGCGGGGUAACGGCCCACCAAGCCUGCGAUCAGUAACUGGUGUGAGAGCACGACCAGUCACACGGGCACUGAGACACGGGCCCGACUCCGUACGGGAGGCAGCAGUAAGGAAUAUUGGUCAAUGGACGAAAGUCUGAACCAGCCAUGCCGCGUGGAGGAUGAAGGUCCUCUGGAUUGUAAACUUCUUUUAUAUGGGACGAAAAAAGGCUUUUCUAAGUCGUCUGACGGUACCAUAUGAAUAAGCACCGGCUAACUCCGUG
rnacentral:rRNA from 1 species